UACGAAGGGGGCUAGCGUUGCUCGGAAUCACUGGGCGUAAAGGGUGCGUAGGCGGGUCUUUAAGUCAGGGGUGAAAUCCUGGAGCUCAACUCCAGAACUGCCUUUGAUACUGAAGAUCUUGAGUUCGGGAGAGGUGAGUGGAACUGCGAGUGUAGAGGUGAAAUUCGUAGAUAUUCGCAAGAACACCAGUGGCGAAGGCGGCUCGCUGGCCCGAUACUGACGCUGAGGCACGAAAGCGUGGGGGAGCAAACAGG
rnacentral:rRNA from 1 species